CCCCCCACACACAGUACAAAUGGAAAGAAAUGCUCAAACUAUUGCCUUCAAGUGAAGGUCAGGAACUUUCAGGAGCGGACGUGUUGCUUCACCAUGUAUGUGGCGGCAGGAGCGUAAGUUGGCCCCUCCGGUGAAGACGGGUGAAAAAGAAACGUUGAUAUAGAGGAAUCUUUCAUUGCACCAUCUCACACUGAAAAAAAAAAAAAGUUGGGAAAAUGACACCCAGACAUUUAUUCAAGGAGGGAAAAUCCCAUGUUGGUAGAUAACUGUUUUUAGCUAUGAGGUGCAUAAUUGAUUUAAACAACUGAUUACAGCCCCCCCCAAUGAGGCAUGACUGAUGUGACACAAAGGCCAAUUUCAGAGAACUGCAGCAAAGAGAGGCCUCUUGGGGUCACCAAGUCUUUAAGGACCCUUUGAUGCUAUCUACAGAUCAAGUAGAAAAACCCUUUUCUGUCCCUCCACCACAGACACAGACUUCAGGAGUUUGCUCAACUGCACUGGCACUUUGACUGGAAACGUCUGCUUUGGCGAGAGGAGACCAAGGUCCAGCUUCUUAGCAACAAAGACUCCAGCUGGAUGCGGAAAGAAACAGGGGAGGAAGUUGAAAAGAACCGAACAGGCCCACGGUUAAUGACGGCGGAGGACCCGUGAUGCUGUGGGACGUCUCACCAGCGAGCUUUGCUCUCAGUUGGCUCAUUGUGAAGCACUCUGUGACGUUUACGUCUGUGAAAGCUGCUGUAGGAAGAACAUUUUUACUUACUCGAUGGUGGAGAGCGUGGCAUCAUGAACUCUUUGGAACACAAGGACCUUUCAUAGAAAAAGAUUUUUCCUCUCCCCUGAAGCCCGUUUGUCUUUGGUUGCCGAAACUCAAAGGUGCCUGCUGGCGGCGACCAGAGGCUGCGUUCAGUCAGUAACGCAGUUUCCAUUCGGGGUGCAGAGCAAGGGAAGCAGGUUUAUGUCAUGUAACAUGGUGACAGCAUAACGGAGCACAGACCAGCUGAACCCGUGCUUCUGAGUUUUGGUGUAGCUGUGAGACGUUUUACUGCAGAAAGGACUUUUUUUUGGUAGUUUAUUGCCAGUCACAACCUCAAGCAAAUAGUAUAAUGAGGGUAAGAAGACAAUUGUUUGGCGUUAAAGGAGGAAAUAUUGUGGGCCAUCAGUGUUGCAUUUUAAAACCGGUUUGUUGGUGAUUUAUGUGCAGCCUGUGUUGAAGGUGGCUGAAGGUUGAAGCAGGCAGGGCUCAGGACAUUAUAGUACACAACAAUAGUUGUUUUCUUUAGUUUUACUUUCUUUUGUGGCAUUAACUUGUAUGUUUAUCUGAUGUUUGUUUGCGCAUCAUUUCUGUAAGGUCUGGUAAUUGGAUUUGGGUUGGAAAGGUGAACAAGGUCAAGUGAACCCGAAAAUGGUGGUUUUAGUGAGUAGAUGGUUCUGAUAGAAAGUGUUGAUGGUCGUAUUCAUCUCAGUGAUGAAUGGGGACGGUCUGCCAGACGAGCACUGGGUGAAAUCCAGCGUCUUUUCAAGACCAACAACCGUGCUUCUCCCUAAUAUUAAUGCACUCUUUUUGCAUUUGGCCAAUAAUUGCAGCUACACUUUUCAUUCAGUUUAGAAUGUUGUAUUUAAAACAUGCAGAUGAAUUUAUUGAUGUUUUAAGCCGGAGAGCAAAAUUUUGAUGUUUCAGACUAACUUUUAAUGUUUAAAAUGACGACGUCCCUCCCAGGGGAUGUUGGCACUGACGGACGGACGGCCAGGCAGAAAUCCUUCUGGGUAAGCUGAAGAAAAGAGAAGAUAAAGGAGGAGCCAGUGCUCUGGACGAUCUAAAGAGGAACAGUGAAAGAACCCGCUCUCUGUACUCUCCAACCUUGUGAAAUGUUACAGCAGAAUCAGAGUUGUCCUUUUGACAGCAAGUGGGAAGUAUUACCAGCAAUACUUCUGCUAAUAUUUGAGCUCCACUGUGAGAUCAUCCUGCAGCAAUAAAAGCUGUUUAUCGAGAAUGAGGUUACUCUAAGGCUUUUUCACACAUUUACCAGGUGUGCCAAAGAAUAUGGCCGACGCAGCGCACGCUCGUCCCCCUGUGGUCCUUUUAUGAAGACUUUAAAGUUGUGUUAAGGGCCGUAAGAGUCUUUCUAUUCAAUAUUUAAAGUAGAACAAAGCAAAUUUCCUUUCUUAGAGAAUCAGUAAAACUGUCCUUUAGCACAGGAAGUAACCCAACAGAGUCCGUUCCCACAAGUUUACCUGCGCCCCCCCCCCUCCCAUUAGUGGUCCCAGCAGCCGCAGCCCGGGCAGGAUGUUUUUGAUGAGGCAGGGGGCUUAAUUUAGUCCCAGGCAUUCUCAGUAUCUGGGUAUCUGUCACCUAACUCCCAGCCAUCUCAACACUCAGAGCCGGAGGUGUCAGUGUGUACGUGUGCGCGGUGGUCCGUGUUUAUCCAUAGAGGACGAGUAUAAAUCCAAGAAAUGCACACAAGCAUGGGGCCCAUCCUGAAAAGACGAUGAUCAGAAGAAGUCUUCAGCCAUUGGAGCUUGUUGCCCCAAUCGCGGCUGCUUAUCUGUGACAUGCUAUUGUGAUCGUGUGCUUUCCUUGGUGUGUCGUUUCUAAAUGAACUGUUAAUGUGCAGUAACGCAGAAAAAAGAAAAAGAAAAAACGCCCACAGUUCUGAUUUCUCCUGGGUUGCUUCAAGCAUUUACUUGGCCAGGAAAUAACCAAUCAGGAGUAGGCACUGCCAGCAAACCAGCUAAAGCAGAAAGCGAACCGGUGCCAACAGCUUCUGCCAAAGACUCCUGCACCCGGUCCUUUCCCCUUACCGGUGCAGGCAGAAAUGUUCUGCCUUCGUCCUGCAGUUACAGCGUGAUUCUACCUGCGAGGAGGACGGCUCCACUCAGGACGCUAACGCAGGACGGCAGCUGUAGAGCAGCCCCACGCCAUCCUCCGCUCACAGGCGUUCUCUCUGCAGUCGAGGUUUGAUAGCACGGGUUUAGUGCAGCCUUUAAUUGGAUCUUGCGAUCCUCUGACCUCGGCGUUUCCGUGCAGCGUUUAGAGAACGUGCUGGGACGCGUCGAAAAAGAAAGGCCGCACGGGGCGCAGGGCGAGGAGAGCUGUGUGGUCCUGCUGCGUCUGCAGCGAGCUGAAAGAGAGGAGGACCACACAGCGGCGCGGUCAGAUCGGGUUUUCAGAGGCCUUUAUUUACAAUCUGGGUCAGAGUCCGGGCCGUAACCCUGCUCUCGCUGUCCCUCAUCUUCAUCUGGGCCAUCUCCCUCUAGCCUUCCUCGCUCUCCGUCCCGUUGUACAGGCCAUUUAACCCUCCGACCUCCGUUCUCCUCGUCCUUCCUCUUUGGGAUCUGCUGAAUCAUGAACGCCAUCCGUGUUAAUCUGAACACAUAAGACACUCGACUGUCUGAAUGUUUUAUUUCAGAGGACUGCUGAUGAACCAAAGAAAGAGAGCCGGAAGCAGAUCUUGAUUUAGGAUCAAAGAGGUGCCACACUGCUGCGUGUUCUGUGGGGCCUGCAGCAACCGUAACCUUACUCCCAUCUAUCAUGGGAUAGUGGCAACCACUGUACACCUAGUCGUAAGACCCAUGCCUCAAUUCUCCUGCAGUGGCUCUGGAUCUAUUAUGACACGGCUGCCAACAGUAAGACUUUGUGACAUGGUCCUGUUUUUCACACCGGAGGCCUCCCAGGGUUCGGUAAGCGGGCCGGCAACCCGAGGAGGAAGCCGAGCCGAGCUGCAGAGCUGCUCCACAGCCCUGCCGGGACCUGCCGGGUCCACCGCUCUCUCUGCCAGAGGCCGCAGCUCCCAGUCAGAUUGGAUCACAGCUGGAGCUGUUCCGACCCGCAGGGCAUUUUUUCACACGGAAGGCUAUGGGUUAACGAAGCACGGGACAACAGCGUGUUCAUGGGACGCACCACCAGAGGCAGCCAGCCACAGUCCACUGGGGAGCUUUAAAUUAAUUUAAUGUAUGCUAAAACAAAGUUAUCUGGGGUUCCUUCUGGAGAGCUAUGCACAGAGCUGAUGACUGCAGAAAAAUCAAAUGGGGAAGUUUUGUAUUGGAGGCCUGCGUGUGAUGACCAUACCUGAUGGCGAGUGGAGUCCAUAAACCCAAAGGAUCGACUUCAGGAGUUAAAACCACAGUGGUAGGCAAGUUUUGACUGUUUCUGUAUUACAUGUAAAAUGUUCAAUAAAGAUUAUGCAAUAAAAUAAUCAAACUUG